CAGGAUGAACGCUAGCUACAGGCUUAACACAUGCAAGUCGAGGGGCAGCAGGACGAUAGCUUGCUAUUGUUGCUGGCGACCGGCGCACGGGUGAGUAACGCGUAUCCAACCUUCCCCUUAGUAGGGCAUAGCCCGUAGAAAUGCGGAUUAAUACCCUAUGUUGUUCGAUGCGGACAUCUAAGUUGAACCAAAGGUUUACCGCUAAGGGAUGGGGAUGCGUCUGAUUAGGCAGCAGGCGGGGUAACGGCCCACCUGGCCUACGAUCAGUGGGGGUUCUGAGAGGAAGGUCCCCCACAUUGGAACUGAGACACGGUCCAAGCUCCUACGGGAGGCAGCAGUGAGGAAUAUUGGUCAAUGGGCGCGAGCCUGAACCAGCCAAGUAGCGUGCAGGACGACGGCCCUAUGGGUUGUAAACUGCUUUUAUGCGGGGAUAAAGUGCGGCACGUGUGCCGUUUUGUAGGUACCGCAUGAAUAAGGACCGGCUAAUUCCGUGCCAGCAGCGGC
rnacentral:rRNA from 1 species